UCACUCGCAUUCACAACCAAUAAUGUCACUUGAUGAAAUAAAUUGCUAAUCACAAUUUUCAACUAAAAUUAUUUCUUGACCAGUUCCUAGGUGAACAAUUAGGUAACAUCAACGAAGUACAUUUUUAAGUUGACAUUAUAUAGCAAUAUUGUCGCAAGGAGAUGAGAAGAGAAAAGAAGAGAGGAGCAAUGAGAGACAUGACUGAAUUUUGAUCGACGCCCCUAAGGAGACAACUUUUCAUCGAAUGACGGGACAUUUCUUGUCAACUCUCGUAUCAUGGUAUGAAUAGUUUUUACACCUGAGUUGAUACGCCGUGGAAUGGAUGUAUAGAUAUCAAUUAAAUCGUUACCGCUACGACCGAAAGCAGCUUCUUCAACCCAAUUUCUCAAACAAUUUAACAGCAUUUCAACGUGUUAUGGAAAUCAACUGAUCGGCCCAGUGAGCAACCAGUGUAUGAAUAAAAUUGCAUUCGUAAAUCAAAUGUCGUAACGAAUAAAACUCAUACACUCUUUGUGUAUAUUUUCCUGCAUGCUAAGCAAUUA